CGGGGCGUGGCUCAGUUUGGUUAGAGCGCUCGGUUCGGGACCGAGAGGUCGGCGGUUCGAAUCCGCCCGCCCCGACCA
rnacentral:tRNA from 1 species